rnacentral:rRNA from 1 species
UACGUAGGGUGCAAGCGUUAAUCGGAAUUACUGGGCGUAAAGCGUGCGCAGGCGGUUAUGCAAGACAGGUGUGAAAUCCCCGGGCUUAACCUGGGAACUGCAUUUGUGACUGCACGGCUAGAGUGUGUCAGAGGGGGGUAGAAUUCCACGUGUAGCAGUGAAAUGCGUAGAUAUGUGGAGGAAUACCGAUGGCGAAGGCAGCCCCCUGGGAUAACACUGACGCUCAUGCACGAAAGCGUGGGGAGCAAACAGG